rnacentral:rRNA from 1 species
UGGGGAAUAUUGCACAAUGGGCGCAAGCCUGAUGCAGCGACGCCGCGUGAGGGAUGACGGCCUUCGGGUUGUAAACCUCUUUCGCCAGGGACGAAGCGCAAGUGACGGUACCUGGAGAAGAAGGACCGGCCAACUACGUGCCAGCAGCCGCGGUAAUACGUAGGGUCCGAGCGUUGUCCGGAAUUACUGGGCGUAAAGAGCUCGUAGGUGGUUUGUCGCGUUGUUCGUGAAAACUCACAGCUUAACUGUGGGCGUGCGGGCGAUACGGGCAGACUGGAGUACUGCAGGGGAGACUGGAAUUCCUGGUGUAGCGGUGGAAUGCGCAGAUAUCAGGAGGAACACCGGUGGCGAAGGCGGGUCUCUGGGCAGUAACUGACGCUGAGGAGCGAAAGCGUGGGGAGCGAACAGG